UCCUGGUCUUAAGGUAGUGACUUGAUUGUUCACAGUCAGUUGCAGAUGGAGCUCUUUGUUCUACUCCUUCCCCCGUUUCUCACUAGUGCACUUGACUAGUCUUUA
rnacentral:Y_RNA from 1 species